rnacentral:tRNA from 1 species
CCUAUUGUGUUUAGGUGUAGAUUAUAUAUUUGAAAAAAAUAUUUAUUUUAUAGGUUUUAAUUGCCUUUGAAAGGU